rnacentral:rRNA from 1 species
CUAAUACAUGCAAGUAGAACGCUGAAGAGAGGAGCUUGCUCUUCUUGGAUGAGUUGCGAACGGGUGAGUAACGCGUAGGUAACCUGCCUUGUAGCGGGGGAUAACUAUUGGAAACGAUAGCUAAUACCGCAUAACAACGGAUGACACAUGUCAUUUAUUUGAAAGGGGCAAUUGCUCCACUACAAGAUGGACCUGCGUUGUAUUAGCUAGUAGGUGAGGUAAUGGCUCACCUAGGCGACGAUACAUAGCCGACCUGAGAGGGUGAUCGGCCACACUGGGACUGAGACACGGCCCAGACUCCUACGGGAGGCAGCAGUAGGGAAUCUUCGGCAAUGGGGGCAACCCUGACCGAGCAACGCCGCGUGAGUGAAGAAGGUUUUCGGAUCGUAAAGCUCUGUUGUAAGUCAAGAACGGGUGUGAGAGUGGAAAGUUCACACUGUGACGGUAGCUUACCAGAAAGGGACGGCUGACUACGUGCCAGCAGCCGCGGUAAUACGUAGGUCCCGAGCGUUGUCCGGAUUUAUUGGGCGUAAAGCGAGCGCAGGCGGUUUGAUAAGUCUGAAGUUAAAGGCUGUGGCUCAACCAUAGUUCGCUUUGGAAACUGUCAAACUUGAGUGCAGAAGGGGAGAGUGGAAUUCCAUGUGUAGCGGUGAAAUGCGUAGAUAUAUGGAGGAACACCGGUGGCGAAAGCGGCUCUCUGGUCUGUAACUGACGCUGAGGCUCGAAAGCGUGGGGAGCGAACAGGAUUAGAUACCCUGGUAGUCCACGCCGUAAACGAUGAGUGCUAGGUGUUGGAUCCUUUCCGGGAUUCAGUGCCGUAGCUAACGCAUUAAGCACUCCGCCUGGGGAGUACGACCGCAAGGUUGAAACUCAAAUGAAUUGACGG